rnacentral:rRNA from 1 species
CCUACGGGUGGCAGCAGUGGGGAAUAUUGCGCAAUGGGCGAAAGCCUGACGCAGCGACGCCGCGUGAGGGAUGAAGGUCUUCGGAUCGUAAACCUCUGUCAGCAGGGAAGAACGGUCACUGUGCUAAUCAGCAGUGAAUUGACGGUACCUGCAAAGGAAGCACCGGCUAACUCCGUGCCAGCAGCCGCGGUAAUACGGAGGGUGCGAGCGUUAAUCGGAAUUACUGGGCGUAAAGCGCGCGUAGGCGGCUUUUCAAGUCAGGGGUGAAAUCCCACGGCCCAACCGUGGAACUGCCUUUGAAACUGUAGAGCUUGAGUGUCGGAGAGGGUGGCGGAAUUCCAGGUGUAGGAGUGAAAUCCGUAGAUAUCUGGAGGAACACCGGUGGCGAAGGCGGCCACCUGGACGACAACUGACGCUGAGGUGCGAAAGCGUGGGUAGCAAACAGGAUUAGAUACCCUAGUAGUC